rnacentral:tRNA from 1 species
GCUGAAGUGGUGGAACUGGUAGACACGCUAUCUUGAGGGGGUAGUGCUUUCGAGUGUAGGAGUUCAAGUCUCCUCUUCAGCA